rnacentral:rRNA from 1 species
UACGUAGGGUGCGAGCGUUAAUCGGAAUUACUGGGCGUAAAGCGUGCGCAGGCGGUUGUGUAAGAAAGGUGUGAAAUGCCCGGGCUUAACCUGGGAACUGCACUUUUGACUGCACGGCUAGAGUGUGUCAGAGGGGGGUAGAAUUCCACGUGUAGCAGUGAAAUGCGUAGAUAUGUGGAGGAAUACCGAUGGCGAAGGCAGCCCCCUGGGAUAACACUGACGCUCAUGCACGAAAGCGUGGGGAGCAAACAGG